ACUUUCAAUAGCCUUUGCAUAUUGUAGUAAGAUGACACGUCUUGCAAAGUUGAUAGUGUUUCUUGGUUCUUUAAGGUACAUACAAGGAUCAGCAUCGUGCAAGUCUUCUGAUGGAAAAGAAGUUGACUGGUUCAUCAUCUACAAAGUACCAAAGUUAACAAGUCCUAAUAAAACAAGCGGAACCGAGUUUUUCUACAUGGAUACUGCUUCGCCAUCGUUUUCCUUCUCACAAAAAGAUAUCACAAAAAGUAUCGAAAACCCUUUAUAUGAGACGCUGAAGGCACUAUACGAUCAGUCUCCAGAUAUCGUAACUUAUGCAAUGUAUAAUGACCAACCACCACCCACAGUUAAAGCUGCAGAUGGUAGACACGCCCACUCCAAAGGUGUUUUGGCGUUUGACAAGACUAAGGGAUUUUGGAUUGUCUCAAGUGUACCGAGGUUUCCAUCUCCCGUUGCGAAAGGUUUCAUGUUUUCGGAUUCGCAAACAAAAUUUGGACAAAGUAUACUCUGUGUCACUGUUGCAAAAACAGUUUAGAAUAUUUUGAAAACCGUAUUCGGAACGACAAAUCCUUAUAUUUAUGACAAGAAAAACUUUGAUAUAAAAAUCAGUAACCCAAUGAAUUCCGUACACAUUCCAAUCAAAACUUUUGGAAAUGUUCAAUUGGAAAUACUUGCUAAGUCAGCUUCGUUUGGACAAGAUAUUUAUGACAAAUUGAUUUCUCCGAAGUUGGCAGACCAUUUAUUGGUUCGAACAUGGAGACCUAAGCUUUUAGACACUGCUAUGGUAUCAAACGUCAUCAAUGCUUGUUUUCCCAAUAAAAUUGCGUUCAACCAUGGGAUAGAUCACUCUAAGUGGGCGGUAACUGAAAACAAACAUUUGAUUUGUAUCGGUGAUAUAAAUAGACAGGAAACUCAAGCAAAGAGAGGCGGAUUGUCACUUUGUCUGACGAAUGCAGGCGCGUCAAAAGAAUUUCGAGAACUUUCCAAUCGAUGUGCAGCCAACAAUAAAAAUGUACCACCCAGGGGAAUCUGUCCAAACCCAAAGAGGGCAAAAAUUUCACCAUAAAACGCUUUGACUUUUAUUCAUCCAACGGAAUAAUCAAUUCUUGGUGUGAAAACUACAUGUAUUUCUAAUUAGUUUCAAUUAAACAAAUGAAUCU
rnacentral:misc_RNA from 1 species